rnacentral:rRNA from 1 species
AGAGUUUGAUCCUGGCUCAGAUUGAACGCUGGCGGCAGGCCUAACACAUGCAAGUCGAACGGUAACAGGAAGCAGCUUGCUGCUUCGCUGACGAGUGGCGGACGGGUGAGUAAUGUCUGGGAAACUGCCUGAUGGAGGGGGAUAACUACUGGAAACGGUAGCUAAUACCGCAUAACGUCGCAAGACCAAAGAGGGGGACCUUCGGGCCUCUUGCCAUCGGAUGUGCCCAGAUGGGAUUAGCUAGUAGGUGGGGUAACGGCUCACCUAGGCGACGAUCCCUAGCUGGUCUGAGAGGAUGACCAGCCACACUGGAACUGAGACACGGUCCAGACUCCUACGGGAGGCAGCAGUGGGGAAUAUUGCACAAUGGGCGCAAGCCUGAUGCAGCCAUGCCGCGUGUGUGAAGAAGGCCUUCGGGUUGUAAAGCACUUUCAGCGAGGAGGAAGGUGGUGAGCUUAAUACGUUCAUCAAUUGACGUUACUCGCAGAAGAAGCACCGGCUAACUCCGUGCCAGCAGCCGCGGUAAUACGGAGGGUGCAAGCGUUAAUCGGAAUUACUGGGCGUAAAGCGCACGCAGGCGGUUUGUUAAGUCAGAUGUGAAAUCCCCGGGCUCAACCUGGGAACUGCAUUUGAAACUGGCAAGCUAGAGUCUUGUAGAGGGGGGUAGAAUUCCAGGUGUAGCGGUGAAAUGCGUAGAGAUCUGGAGGAAUACCGGUGGCGAAGGCGGCCCCCUGGACAAAGACUGACGCUCAGGUGCGAAAGCGUGGGGAGCAAACAGGAUUAGAUACCCUGGUAGUCCACGCCGUAAACGAUGUCGAUUUGGAGGUUGUGCCCUUGAGGCGUGGCUUCCGGAGCUAACGCGUUAAAUCGACCGCCUGGGGAGUACGGCCGCAAGGUUAAAACUCAAAUGAAUUGACGGGGGCCCGCACAAGCGGUGGAGCAUGUGGUUUAAUUCGAUGCAACGCGAAGAACCUUACCUGGUCUUGACAUCCACGGAACUUUCCAGAGAUGGAUUGGUGCCUUCGGGAACUGUGAGACAGGUGCUGCAUGGCUGUCGUCAGCUCGUGUUGUGAAAUGUUGGGUUAAGUCCCGCAACGAGCGCAACCCUUAUCCUUUGUUGCCAGCGGUCCGGCCGGGAACUCAAAGGAGACUGCCAGUGAUAAACUGGAGGAAGGUGGGGUUGACGUCAAGUCAUCAUGGCCCUUACGACCAGGGCUACACACGUGCUACAAUGGCGCAUACAAAGAGAAGCGACCUCGCGAGAGCAAGCGGACCUCAUAAAGUGCGUCGUAGUCCGGAUUGGAGUCUGCAACUCGACUCCAUGAAGUCGGAAUCGCUAGUAAUCGUGGAUCAGAAUGCCACGGUGAAUACGUUCCCGGGCCUUGUACACACCGCCCGUCACACCAUGGGAGUGGGUUGCAAAAGAAGUAGGUAGCUUAACCUUCGGGAGGGCGCUUACCACUUUGUGAUUCAUGACUGGGGUGAAGUCGUAACAAGGUAACC